rnacentral:rRNA from 1 species
AAUUUGAAAUCUGGCACCUUCGGUGUCCGAGUUGUAAUUUGAAGAAGGUAACUUUGGAGUUGGCUCUUGUCUAUGUUCCUUGGAACAGGACGUCACAGAGGGUGAGAAUCCCGUGCGAUGAGAUGCCCAAUUCUAUGUAAAGUGCUUUCGAAGAGUCGAGUUGUUUGGGAAUGCAGCUCUAAGUGGGUGGUAAAUUCCAUCUAAAGCUAAAUAUUGGCGAGAGACCGAUAGCGAACAAGUACAGUGAUGGAAAGAUGAAAAGAACUUUGAAAAGAGAGUGAAAAAGUACGUGAAAUUGUUGAAAGGGAAGGGCUUGAGAUCAGACUUGGUAUUUUGCGAUCCUUUCCUUCUUGGUUGGGUUCCUCGCAGCUUACUGGGCCAGCAUCGGUUUGGAUGGUAGGAUAAUGACUAAGGAAUGUGGCUCUACUUCGGUGGAGUGUUAUAGCCUUGGUUGAUACUGCCUGUCUAGACCGAGGACUGCGUCUUUUGACUAGGAUGUUGGCAUAAUGAUCUUAAGCCACCCG